rnacentral:misc_RNA from 1 species
GAUGAAGAACGCAGCGAAAUGCGAUAAGUAAUGCGAAUUGCAGAAUUCCAGUGAGUCAUCGAAUCUUUGAACGCACAUUGCGCCCUUUGGUAUUCCGAAGGGCAUGCCUGUUCGAGCGUCAUUAUCACCCCUCAAGCCCUCGGCUUGGUGUUGGACGGUUUGGUGGAGGCCCCCUCGGGGGUUCCUGCCCCUCCCAAAGACAAUGACGGCGGCCUCGUUGGACCCCCGGUACACUGAGUUCUUCACGGGACACGUAUCGGACACAUGGGUUUACGGGACACGGUCUGCCUCCCCUCAGGGAGAAUCUUUCUAAGGUUGACCUCGGAUCAGGUAGGGAUACCCGCUGAACUUAAGCAUAUCAAUAAGCUGAGUA